rnacentral:rRNA from 1 species
AGCGACGCCGCGUGAGGGAUUAAGCCCUUCGGGGUGUAAACCUCGUUUUCUGGGGGAAGAAACUCACGACGGUGAACAAUCGGCGUGACUGACGGUACUCCAGGAAUAAGCUCCGGCCAACUCCGUGCCAGCAGCCGCGGUAACACGGGGGAGCAAACGUUGUUCGGAAUCACUGGGCGUAAAGGGCGCGUAGGCGGCCUCGUAAGUGGUGUGUGAAAUCUCCUGGCUCAACCAGGGGAAUAGCGCUCCAAACUGCGGGGCUUGAGGGCAGUAGAGGAAGCUGGAAUUCCAGGUGUAGCGGUGAAAUGCGUAGAUAUCUGGAGGAACACCAUUGGCGAAGGCGAGCUUCUGGGCUGUCUCUGACGCUGAUGCGCGAAAGCUGGGGGAGCAAACAGGAUUAGAUACCCUGGUAGUCCCAGCCGUAAACGGUGAACACUAGGUGUGGGAGGUGUCGACCCCUCCCGUGCCGCAGCUAACGCAUUAAGUGUUCCGCCUGGGGAGUACGGUCGCAAGGCUG